rnacentral:rRNA from 1 species
GACGAACGCUGGCGGCGUGCCUAACACAUGCAAGUCGAGCGGGGUUGAAGCGAGAGGUAACUCGAGCUUCUACCUAGCGGCGGACGGGUGAGUAACGCGUGGGCAACCUGCCUCAAGGUUUGGGAUAACAGCCCGAAAGGGCUGCUAAUACCGGAUAUGCCUGUGGCCUCGCAUGGGGCUAUGAGCAAAGGGGAAACCCGCCUUGAGAUGGGCCCGCGUCCCAUCAGCUAGUUGGUGAGGUGAAGGCUCACCAAGGCGACGACGGGUAGCCCGCCUGAGAGGGUGACCGGCCACACUGGGACUGAGACACGGCCCAGACUCCUACGGGGGGCAGCAGUGGGGAAUCUUGCACAAUGGGCGAAAGCCUGAUGCAGCGACGCCGCGUGAGCGAAGAAGGCCUUCGGGUUGUAAAGCUCUGUCUGGAGGGACGAAGAAAGUGACGGUACCUCCGGAGGAGCCGACGGCUAACUACGUGCCAGCAGCCGCGGUAAGCUGUAGUCGUCG